GGUAAGAUGGCCGAGAUUAGGUGGCGGGUUGUAGCCCCGCAGACAGGGGAUCAUACCUCUUCUUAUCA
rnacentral:tRNA from 1 species